CAGUGGGUCGCCACAAUAUUAUUAUUGUUUCUUGUCGACCAAACUGAAGAUAAUGUAUUACUAAAAUAAGUGUUCCUGCAAUAUUGAUGAUUUCAUGACUUCAUUCAACAGUACAGUAUUACCAACAAGACACAUGGGGCUGAUCUGACUGGAACAGAAUAAAACCAUACUCCAGAUUGCAAAAGAUGCCGUGUUGUCUCUUGCCUACCAGCAGUGCUAUUCCUGAGAGGCUAACAGAAAAAAUGCAAGAGCUAAAGGAUAGGCAUGUACUUGCCUGUAAG